ACAGUUCUCUGUUCCAGGGAAAGGAUAUGCUAUUGUAGUUAACACAUGGAAGAGAUACGAUCUGUUGAAGCAGUCAAUUUCCCACUAUUCAACUUGUGCUGGGCUUGAUUCUAUACAUAUUGUCUGGAGUGAGCCCAAUCCUCCUUCAGAAUCUCUUGUUAAGUAUCUUAAUCACAUUCUACUGUCAAAAUCUAAAGGUGCGAGGCAGGCUGAGCUGAAAUUUGAUAUCAACAAGGAAGACAGU
rnacentral:misc_RNA from 1 species